GCAGGCUUAACACAUGCAAGUCGAGGGGCAGCAUGUCCAGCAAUGGAUGAUGGCGACCGGCGGAAGGGUGCGUAACGCGUGAGCAACAUGCCCUAUACAGGGAGAUACACCAGGGAAACUUGUUCUAAUAUCCCAUAGCAUUCAUUGAAGGCAUCUUUAAUGAAUUAAAGCUUCGGUGGUAUAGGAUUGGCUCGCGUGACAUUAGCCAGAUGGUGAGGUAACGGCUCACCAUAGCAAUGAUGUCUAGGGGUUUUGAGAGGAAGGCCCCCCACACUGGGACUGAGACACGGCCCAGACUCCUACGGGAGGCAGCAGUGAGGAAUAUUGGACAAUGGAUGGAAAUCUGAUCCAGCCAUGCCGCGUGCAGGAAGACGGCCUUAUGGGUUGUAAACUGCUUUUAUACGGGAGCAAUAAGGGUUACGAGUAAUCCGAUGAGAGUACUGUAUGAAUAAGGAUCGGCUAACUCCGUGCCAGCAGCCGCGGUAAUACGGAGGAUCCGAGCGUUAUCCGGAAUUAUUGGGUUUAAAGGGUGCGUAGGCGGCCAUUUAAGUCAGCGGUGAAAUUUUGCAGCUUAACUGUAACAGUGCCGUUGAUACUGUUUGGCUAGGAUUUGGUUGUAGUGUGCGGAAUGUGUGGUGUAGCGGUGAAAUGCUUAGAUAUCACACAGAACACCGAUUGCGAAGGCAGCACACUAAGUCAUUAUUGACGCUGAGGCACGAAAGUGUGGGGAUCAAACAGGAUUAGAUACCCUGGUAGUCCACACUGUAAACGAUGAUAACUCGCUGUCGGCGAUACACAGUCGGUGCCAAGCGAAAGC
rnacentral:rRNA from 1 species